rnacentral:lncRNA from 1 species
UCACUGGCCAGCCUGGUCACCAGGAGCUGUCUGGGCCACCACAUCUUCCUCAUCUACCUAAUCCCUCACCAGGGCAAGGUCUACAGCAUCUCUCCCCAAACAGACCUAAAGUCAGAGACUUCCCCUUUACUCGGAACAGCCUGGCACCUCUGCCGGACCAAAAAUUUCUAUCUGGAGAACCCCUGAGAACGAACCGGGUGCUUCCAGCGAUUCCAAGCCAGAGGGGACAUGACCCACCAGCUGAAGAGAGCGAGUGGUCCUCCAGUCCCACCCACGAUGAAAACUGACUGCAGGUUGCUCUGUGGAAAUAUAGAAGACUUUAAUUUUUCAACUUUCCAAGGGUGAGAUUACUCUAGUUUAUAUGAGCAAAGUCUUAAUUUUAGUAAGCUGCGUUCUACAAGCCACUUACGGUUUUAUAAUUCAAGGUUCCUCAUUUCAAAUAAAUACACUUCCUAAAUACUCACUUAGAAUCUCCAGGUGUGCAAACAUCACCCAGUCUAUGAGUUUCUGUGGACCCCCGCCCUCAACACACUGUAAUUCAGAAACAAAAUACACACCUGAAAGGAAGGUUUAGGUACGUUUCAUUUAUGUUUGUGCCAUGUUUGCUGCUUUGUCUGGGUUUUUUUUUUGUUUGUUUGUUUGUUUGUUUGUUUUUGUUUUUCUUAUUUGGUGAUUUUAUGUAUAUUUUUAAGAGUAUGCUUUGCUGAAUAAAAAAAGAAGAAGAAGAAAAGC